rnacentral:tRNA from 1 species
UUCAUAUAUUUUAAUUAGAAUUUAAUAUUGAAGAUAUUAAGGUGAAAGUAAUUUUCUAUGGAU